UGGGCACGGGGACCAGGAAGGCCUGUCCCCCCAGCGGCAGGUAGACCUGGGAGGCCGGUCCCUCCGCGGGCAAGGGAACCAGCGAGGCCUGUCUCCUCUGCGGGCACGGGGGACCUUGGAGCCGGACCCUCAGCGGCCACGACGAGCACCGCGGCCUGUGACUCCGGAAACACCGGGACCGUGGGGAGGCCUAUCCAUCCUUGGCAUUGGGUCCGUGGGGUGAACCAUCCUGUCGGUGGGUAUUGGGGGCCCCAGCUCAGCCCAUUCUCAAGCAUCAGGGCCCAUGGCCUGAUCAGGCUCCGAAGUGUGGCCCUCCAGUGGCAUCAUCCCAGCCCCUUGGCAGCUUGUCCCUAAGGUAUUGGAGCCCUAUGGAGUCACCACAGGUUGAACCAAGGGUGGUUUACGUUCCAGGCCUUUAUCCUGUAUUCAUUUGGGUUUACAUACAUUGGUUUGAUUCCAGGAAAAUCUCUGCUGAGCACCUCAUCUUCCUGCAGCAUUUCUGGAUGCCUCAGACAGCGUCAUUGCCAAACCAUCCUUGCAAGGGCAAAAGCCUUGGAACUUAAAUGCAUCCAGAUGGUGGACCUUGGACCUCAGAGGACAUAGCCAGAAAAUCCUCCUGUGCUGCAGGACAGACACGGUGCCCACGGAGCUGCAGACAGAGGAUGUGUCUCAGGACAAGAGUUUCCUUCUCACCACCACCCUGCUCCAACUCUGUCUUCCCCGUGGCACAAAGAGCAUUGAGACUCUUGCAGGGAUCAACAAGACGCUCCUUGUACUUGAGGAAUUAUUUGACAUUUCACUUGCCCCGACGUGUGAAAGAUUCUAUUGUCUACAGAUUCCAUUUCAUUGUGAACCCUCAUAAGGUCCUGCUAAGAAGCCUGCUUUUCAUUUUCAUCUAUUAUUACAAGCAAUGUCCUCUUGCAUUUUGAAGACAGUGUUUCAGUUAUACAUCCAGAAAAGAAGAGUCUGUGCAUGGUAAUCAGUUCAAUGAAUCAUCAAUCCUCCUUGCCUGGUACUUGGUGCCUCUAUAAAGGAACUUCAAAGACCUCUUGCUCCCACAUGAAGCACCUGGCUUCUGCAUUUGUUAAUGGUCAGCAGGAGGAUGAAUGCAGAGUGGACAGGCAGAUUGAGCACAGUGUGGAAGAGGAAAGAGCGGAACGUGUCCAGCACAAGGGCUGCAGGAGGCCUGUCUUGAAAGACAGCAUGAGGUUUCAUGUUCUCCCACACUGCCUUAACGUCCUCCAGAAGAGACACCUGUUUAAAGCGUUUGCUAUUUUUUCAAGUGAAACCCUUAUGUCUUUAGAAACAGGAGAGGCUCUAAAGAGUUCACGCCAAGAAGUGGGCCCGCUCCUGAAGGGCACCCGCAUGAAGCCUGCAAAUGACGUGCCUCCUGGGCUGGGUGGCACCUACACUCCAACUUUAUUGUUUUUCUUGUGUGGAGCUAUUCACUGGGCACAAGAGUGAAGAGUGCUUGUCUCCAGUCAUGCCAGUCCCGCCUCCUCUAGAGGACACCCCAGGGGGACCGACAGUGCCGAGAGUGGGUGGGGGGAGGGGCGAGGGGCUCACGGCUUUGGGUGUAGGAUGCACAGGGUGCCAUGUCCACACCAGGAGAGGAGGACAGUGAGGGCAGCAGUUGCCCAGGUCCAGCAGUGCCCCACUGCUGACUUUGGCAUAAAGCACCGUAGUCAGGCCCAGGCACGCUCUGGGCAUUUCUCUCCUGGACACAAAGCUAAAAGAGCCCAGCUGGGACAACCACCCCAGACUCAAGACAGCACCAUUCUCCGUUAAUAGGGCUGGCCCUCUGCUGGCCUUUCAGAGUUAGCAGCCCCCUCCCCCCGAAGGUUGGGCCUCUUCAAAACUCGAAUUUGCCUGGCGCUCACCGACUCGGGCACCUUCCUGGCUCCCAGUGUGUUCCUCCUCUGCAGGUCCCUUCCCACCUACAAAUGAGGUUAACAGCGUCCAGAGGGCCAGGAGUUGCUGACCCCUGCUGUCACUCCCGCUGCUCUGAUCCACAUCCCCAGGGUCCAGCAACUCUGCUAAUCCAGAGCAACUGGGACUCCCCAAGGCCUCCCCUGCACCCUCCUGACCUGGAUCCAGACCCAGGGGCUGGACACAACAUUUCUGAGAUGACUGACAAGGGCCCUCUGGAGCCCAGCACCCUCACUGCUCUGAGUGUGCACGUCUGGACCUCCAAGGAACUCUGGGCCCCCAGAAACGAUCCAGUCGGAUGUCGCUUGCUACUCUCUCUGGGAUCAUUAUACAGUAAAACCAGGAUCACAUGAACACAAGCAUCGUGACACCACCAGAUGAUCAGAUAACCAAGGCUGCAGCGACGGAGGGGCAGGUAACCUACACGGGACGGAUCAAUACACCGUACAAAAGAGGAUGGGACAGAAUGGGAUGGCCUGAGAUUUCCUCAUGCUCAUUCCUCACUAGAACGGCAAACAAUUUAAAACUUAAGUUGUUAAUUUCUGGAAUUUUCCAUGUAAUGUUUUCAGACUGUCAUCGACUGCAUGUACCUGGAAGCCAUAGAAAUAAAAUCUGCCAGUAAGUGGG